GAUGAACGCUGGCGGCAGGCCUAACACAUGCAAGUCGAACGAAGUCUUCGGACUUAGUGGCGGACGGGUGAGUAACACGUGGGAACGUACCUUUUGGUUCGGAACAACUCAGGGAAACUUGAGCUAAUACCGGAUGAGCCCUUAGGGGGAAAGAUUUAUCGCCGAAAGAGCGGCCCGCGUUAGAUUAGCUAGUUGGUGAGGUAAAGGCUCACCAAGGCUACGAUCUAUAGCUGGUCUGAGAGGAUGAUCAGCCACACUGGGACUGAGACACGGCCCAGACUCCUACGGGAGGCAGCAGUGGGGAAUCUUGCGCAAUGGGCGAAAGCCUGACGCAGCCAUGCCGCGUGAAUGAUGAAGGUCUUAGGAUUGUAAAAUUCUUUUACCAGGGACGAUAAUGACGGUACCUGGAGAAAAAGCCCCGGCUAACUUCGUGCCAGCCGCCGCCGUAAUAC
rnacentral:rRNA from 1 species